GACGAACGCUGGCGGCGUGCCUAAUACAUGCAAGUAGAAGCUAGUUGCGAACGGGUGAGUAAUGUAUCGGAACGUCCCCCGUAGCGGGGGAUAACUACGCGAAAGCGUAGCUAUUACAGCAUAUUAUUUGAGCGGUGGCUAUCGGAUUAGCUAGUUGGUGGGGUAACGGCUCACCAAGGCGACGAUCCGUAGCUGGUUUGAGAGGACGACCAGCCACACUGGAACUGAGACACGGCCCAGACUCCUACGGGAGGCAGCAGUGGGGAAUUUUGGACAAUGGGGGAAACCCUGAUCCAGCCAUCCCGCGUGUGCGAUGAAGGCCUUCGGGUUGUAAAGCACUUUUGGCAGGAAGGCGGUACCUGCAGAAUAAGCACCGGCUAACUACGUGCCAGCAGCCGCGGUAAUAC
rnacentral:rRNA from 1 species